rnacentral:rRNA from 1 species
GGUUCGAUUCUGGCUCAGAUUGAACGCUGGCGGGAUGCUUUACACAUGCAAGUCGAACGGCAGCACGGGACUUCGGAACAGUGGCGAGUGGCGAACGGGUGAGUAAUGUAUCGGAACGCCUAGUAGCGGGGGAUAACUACGCGAAAGCGUAGCUAAUACCGCAUACGCCCUUCGGGGAAAGCGGGGACCUUCGGGCCUCGCACUAUUAGAGCGGCCGAUAUCGGAUUAGCUAGCUGGUGGGGUAACGGCUCACCAAGGCGACGAUCCGUAGCUGGUUUGAGAGGACGACCAGCCAUGCCUCGGGACUGGAGACACGGCCCAGACUCUACGGGAGGCAGCAGCGGGGGAAUGGACAAUGGGGAAAACCCCUGAUCCAGCCAUCCCGCGUGUGCGAUGGAAGGCCUCUCGGGUUGUAGCACUUUUGGCAGGAAGAAACGGCAUUGGCUAAUACCCCGUGCAACUGACGGUACCUGCAGAAUAAGCACCGCCACCACGCCAGCAGCCGCGGUAAUACGUAGGGUGCAAGCGUUAAUCGGAAUUACUAGGCGUAAAAGCGUGCAGGCGGUUCGGAAAGAAAGAUGUGAAAUCCCAGAGCUUAACUUUGAAUCACUUUAACUACCGAGCUAGAGUGUGUCAGAGGAGGUGGAAUUCGCGUGUAGCAGUGCGAAAUGCGUAGAUAUGCGGAGGAACACCGAUGGCGAAGGCAGCCUCCUGGGAUAACACUGACGCUCAUGCACGAAAGCGUGGGGAGCAAACAGGAUUAGAUACCCUGGUAGUCCACGCCCUAAACGAUGUCAACUAGUUGCUGGGGCCUUCGGGCCUUGCAGCGCAGCUAACGCGUGAAGUUGACCGCCUGGGGAGUACGGUCGCAAGAUUAAAACCCAAAGGAAUUGACGGGACUCCGCACAAGCGGCGGAUGAUGUGGAUUAAUUCGAUGCAACGCGAAAAACCUUACCUACCCUUGACAUGUCUGGAAUCCUGAAGAGAUUUGGGGAGUGCUCGCAAGAGAACCGGAACACAGGUGCUGCAUGGCUGUCGUCAGCUCGUGUCGUGAUGCUGGGUUAAGUCCCGCAACGAGCGCAACCCUUGUCAUUAGUUGCUACGAAAGUGCACUUCUAAUGAGACUGCCGGUGACAAACCGGAGGAAGGUGGGAUGACGUCAAGUCCUCAUGGCCCUUAUGGGUAGGGCUUCACACGUCAUACAAUGGUCGGGACAGAGGGUCGCCAACCCGCGAGGGGGAGCCAAUCCCAGAAACCCGAUCGUAGUCCGGAUCGCAGUCUGCAACUCGACUUCGGUGUGAAGUCGGAAUCGCUAGUAAUCGCGGAUCAGCAUGUCGCGGUGAAUACGUUCCCGGCCUUGUACACACCGCCCGUCACACCAUGGGAGUGGGUUUUACCAGAAGUAGUUAGCCUAACCGUAAGGAGGGCGAUUACCACGGUAGGAUUCAUGACUGGGGUGAAGUCGUAACAAGGUAG